UUUAUGUUUGUAAUGGAAAAAGACAACCUGUAAGUCAGAGAACAAAGCAGGGUUUACAGGCAGGUGCCUGACAAAUGCAAAACGGAAAAAGACAGCAAUUACCACGUUCUGACUCCUUAAUGCGGAAAAGGACUUGUUGUGAAGAAUCCCAGCCUUAAGGACCGAUGUGAUGGAUGAAUGCUGGUCCUGGAUUUCAACCUGACAACAGGGGGUCCGAAAGACAUGGAGGAGGGAAGCUAGGGAGCAGGAGAUCAGAUUCAGUUCAACAGCAACACAUUUAGUCUGACUGCUGUGCAUCCCUGAUGUGAUUCAGCCUCUCGGCAGGGAGGUGUGUGUGGGUCUUCUGGUUUGGACUGGGGCCUAGCUCCAUCUUAACCUCCUUUCUUCUACUAACCACUAACAUUUGCUCAUUAGGAGCUGAUGUACAGAGUGUGCUGUCAUUGGCCACAGUUUAGUCAGUACGUGCCUACCACAUUCAAAACAAAAACCUUUCCGUAAGGCUUUUCAAAAACACAAAUGAUUUAGCAGGUUCUGAAAACAUGCUUAGGUUACUCACUCCCCAAGCACUGUUGUGUGUGUGUUCACUCAGCAAAUAGGAUAGCAGAGGGGAACCAGGGACAACAGUGGGGAAACUGACACCCCGACUUCCACCAAAUUGGUGGGAGAGAGAGGUGUCAGAGGUCACCGGAAGAUGGUGUAAGACAUUACAUUAGAGGGCCUGUGUACAAUUGUAAUGAAUAGAAGGGGGGAUAGAGGAGGAGUUGGGGAACCAUUAAGAAACCCUCCUGAGUCCCACUACCCACAAUUCAAUCCCAUGUCAGGGUUCCCAUCAUCUCCUGCCUUGGAGAGAUGGAUAAUAUUCCAUGGCGGCUGAGAGAUCUGUGUCCUCAUGGGGGAACCCAUGGCAUCUGGAUCGUGUUAGGGGGAAUCUGUGUUGAUCCGCCAUGGAGAACAUGCCGGAAAAACAGCCCGACUGACCUGGCGAGCUGGUGGACCAGGGUUUAGGCUGCCUGGGCGUCUGGGGAAUCCUGCUCCUGUCUCUGGCCAAAGGUUAUUAAAGAGCUGGACAUUGUUUCCAUUGGGCUGGUGUGAGAACCUCCGGGGGUGGAGGGCAGAGGAAUGGGGUCAGGGCUUGUGGCAAGAGACAGUGAAAACAGUGGCACCGCCACCCGCAGAGGGGGAAGCAGGGACGGAUUGGAGUAAGCUGGGUACAGUUGAUCUCUCCUCGCUGUUGCUGGAAACACUGACGAUGUUGGCGAAUCCUCUGGAACAAGUGAGGUUCUGACAGAGGAAACAUGUAUCUCCUCAAUGUUUAGUUAACCUCAUUCCCAAGGUUACCGAAAGAAAUCUUUAUCCACGUUUGUUUGUUUUCACUUUUUCAAGACCACACAGGGGCCAACACAGGUCUGCCCCAAUCACAGUGAGUUAGUGGUUUAUCCUACAUUAUAAAGUGGAGCGUACUGUAUUUGAAAUGUUACAUUGUGUCGACCAGUGGAUGUAUAUGUAUGCACAUGUAUCAUUGCUGAGAGGAAAACAUUCAGGAUAAUACAAAAGCAAAAAAUGAGGAAGUGAAGAAAGGGAAGUUUAUUACAGGGAACAGGGAGCUGAGGUUCCUUCAGCCCUGAGGAGGGUCUUCUGGGAGCCUGGGUGGAGCUGAUGACAGAACUUCAUACAAAAUGAAACAUUUCUCCCUAAUUCCCCCUCCUGGAGAAUUAAUAUUCUCUUAUUGUCAUCUUGAUAGUAACCAGAGAGAGUGGAAACCAUAAAGCACUGUCUAGGGAUGGUCCUCGGUGUCAGCAGGGAUGGUGGUCCACUCAGAGGAUGUUGCCAGGGCGGUUCUUUCUUCCAGUCAUUGCGUGACUAUGGAGGGCUGGGGCUCAGUUGCCUGGUUGAGGGUGGGGUCCAAGUCACUGCCCAUCUUGUUAAGUCUCCAGCCAAGCCUGUUGUGAUUUGACAGGGCUCCACUGACAUGGGGCAUCUAGAGGCCCAGGACCACCUCCUCCACCAUCACCAAGCGUGACCGACAUCUGUAACCCAUUGCAUCCCCUAAUUAUCCUCGGGUGAACCUCAUGGAAAAUGCGACACAAGCCAUUGGAAUGUAAACACAACCUGUUGAGAACUCCCAUUUCUGUUCUUUCUGUUGUGAGCUGAGGACUCCAAUUUGUAUUAGUUCAUAUCCAGUGUCAGGGUGUGUUGGUGAGACAUUCCUCCACUAGUUUGCAUGGCCAGCUUUUGUGUAAAUAUGUUCUUGGAUACAUGGAUUUGUACAUGGUGCAUGCAAUUGUACAAUUUUCCAUCAUGGCUUGCACUGAAAGCACUGAAUCGUGCGGUCUGUAAACAGUGUAAUGAGAAGUGUUACACUCAAUUUUGUGUGUACUGCAACUGCAAAAAAAUGACACAAAAGCAAGCAUGUGCACGCAUGAGCAAAACAGCUAAUAGUCCAAGGCUGCAAGACAGCUGUUGGUUGUGUUGGUGAAGUGCCUUCCCCCCAAACAAAAAGCUACUGGUUUCUAAACUCCAGCCAGAAGCUUCCCAGCAUCCAAAAACAAGCAAUCGGGACAGGAAUGUGCACGGCACAACAAUUCCAAAUGCUGAAGCAAUUAUGUUCCAGGUAUCCAACUAGUGGUGGGAGAGGGUCAACAGCUGGUUCUAAUACAGCACUGGACUUUUGAAGAGAUCUGCUUUGCCACCCCUCCUUGUGUUCAACCAUGUCAAGGAAAUCCUGCCUCCACUCUGCUCUGAGUCAACCAUCUACAGCAGUAAGUGAACAAGACAUCCAAUAAAAAAAGUCACCAAAUACAGGACACCAAAAAUGUGUGCGAGUCACAACCAAGACGUGAGUUCCCUGGAGUAACAAAGAACGUCAUGUUUCUUUCCUACUCCCCUACUUUUAUCUUCCUUCUCACGCACCCCUUGCCUCAAAAAGAGAAAUUGAUUAUUGAAACAGCCAGAAACAUGUUGCUGUCGUUGUCUCUUUUGUAUCCAGACCCAAAAAACAUGGAAGUCACACAUGCGUGUCAAAAUAACAAAACAAAUCAAAUGGCAGAUACAUUCAUUAAUAGCUCUCAGGGAACACACAGCGAAUUUGCCAUGCAAAGCAUAAGUCAUUCACAUCAAGACUGACUAUUCUUGUUCCUCAAUCAGAAAAUAACAAAAAUGAACAUUGCAGCAUGACAUUUAGUGGUCCACAUCUGUAUUUUUUUGUACUGUUCUAUAAUUUAGGGUGGAUAAAGUCAAUGCUUGAUGCUGAUAAGACAGCAAUGGCUGGUGAAUGGCCACAUAGCAAAAGCAAAAGAAAAUUGGUGCAAUAAUGCAGAUCCUCAGUUCUGUCAGAUUUGGCGUGUCAAAAUGACACCUCAAACAAAAGGGGUGUCAAAACAUUCCGUGACACCUCCUCACAGGGCUUAAUGGCUCCAAGACCAGGAUGUGACAUCAUGCUACACUACCACUGAGCUGUGCGGCAACGCCCCAGUCGUUUCCCCGCACACACCUUUCCCAAGAAAAAAAAGAGGUAAUAUGAUAUUCAUCCUAAUUAGAGAAAACCAAACGGUAUUCACGUUCUUUGG